UUAAGAUUGAGACUUAAAGCAUGAAAAGGAGUCAGCCAUGCAGAAGAAAAAAUGGAUGUUCAGAGAGAACAACAAACAUGCCUCAAGAUACACAGCUAGUAUGUGGUAGUGACAAGAAUCUAGCACAAGCAGUCUGAUUUCAGAUGAGAAACUUGGAGCUCAGAGACAUCCGUUAACUUAAAGUGGCUGAAGGGGGACUCCAAUCAGGGCAACCCACCUUAGAGUCCUCUGCUGUCCACCACUGAGCUGGGAAAUGAAGACUCUGCACAUAGCAUUUCAUCUGGCUGAUCCUUGGAGUCCCAGUCUAAGCAGGGCAGAAUAUAUGACUGAAGUGAACUCCACUCGACCUUCAAAUCCAACCCCUCCGAAGAGAAUAUUCCAAGAAUCAAGCAAAACCUGGGAGGUCAAGGAUGUUUCAUCUGCGUUUCCCCAUUCUCUUAGAUUGUCUCUUCUUUCCUCAAGUCUCAUAGAAUCUGAGAGUUAGAAGGUUCUCAAAGGUCAUCUCAAGCACAAUGCUUUGUGAAAUUUGAAGUCCAGCUACAAUAUGCCCAAUAAGCAUUUAUCCAGACUCAAGAGUCCCCAUUGCUGGAGAAUUGGAAUUUAAUAAUACCAAACAUAGCCCAAUCCAUUUUGGAACAAAUCUACUUGUGAGGAAGUUAUUUUAUUGUUGUUUGUUUUACAGCAUGCUGUAGGUGGUCUCUUUGAAUUCCAUCUAAAUACAACUUUUUGUAGUACAGUACUGCAAAUCAUCUAUUCUAAAGAUGCAUAUGUGUUUACACUGUAUCUGUGAACAUUCAUAACAAUUGAAGACACUUCUGAUUGUGCUUGGCUGGGCAGCAGACACGACGUUGUUGCUUAUGCAUGUGUGAGACAGGCUGUUUCAGGUAGUGUGAUAAAAAUUCUCUCAAUAUUUCAGUCAAACUAUUUAAGAGUCUUUGGAAUAAGGAAUAUAAGCCUUCUAUGUCUUAAAAAAAAUUUAUGGAGAUUUUUUGAAAAUCAUGAAAGCACCAGAUUCAAAACAUUCAGAAGGCAUCUUGGAAGAAAAAAAAAAUCUCAGGAGACAAUAGUGGAGGACUCUAAACAAAGUUGUAUUACAGUAUUCUUAAGAGUAAAAUCAAUGGGACGAUAGAGCAAAACUGCUCAACUAAUAUACCUAAUUCAUAGAAUGUAAUAGCUAUUUAGGAAAUGAAACAUUUAUUGUUGAUUUAUGAUGUGCUACUAACUCUGCUAAGCCCUUUCCAUAUUUUAUUCUACUUGAUCCACCCCAAGACCUAAUGAGGUAGUUAGCACAGGGCCACUAUCCCUUAUCCAAAACUUUUAGGCCAAAUUUUGAAAUUCAUAACUAUUUUUAUUAUUUAAGAAUAUAUAGUAUAUGUAUUGUAUCUUGUUUAACCCCACCAGCAGGGUCUGGGAUAGCAUGCUGUAAUCAAACACAUUAAUAUUUUGCAACAAAAUAUGUGCAUAUUCACAGACUGUGGGAUAAAGAAAUAUCAUAGUAAGUCUCCAGUCUCCCGUCUCAUGCCAGUUUAGGUCAAAGAUGAGUUUGUGAUGGGCUUAUGAAAAUGUUUUCUGUUCUCAGGUAUUUGGGGAUUUUAGAUAUGCAAAUUAGUGGUUUGGAAUUUGUAUUAGUGUCUCCAUUUUGCUAAUAAACAAAGUGAGGCUUUGUAAGUAGUUCCCCCUGACGCACACAGCUCAGAGUGUGGAGUUGGGUCUGAGACAAUCAAGGUCUUAACAACGAUGCUUGGCUGCCUCAGUGAAGCAUCCAUCUGCCAGGAGGUUGGGGGUCACUGCCAUGGGCCCUGAGUCUUCUCUUCUUUAGACUGAUCACUUGCCCAUAACUAUCUCUAGACUUCUUGCCACAAUGGCUCUCCUUUGAACACCCCAUGGUUUCUCACUUCUUAAACCACUGUAAGUAUGAAGUCUCCAUGAGGGGAGACUUAACUAACUGCUAAUAGAAGAACAGAAAGAACAGAAAGGUGUGUGGAGUUCCACGCUCCAACAGCAUCUACCACUUGCUCAAUGAAGUUUUUCAAAAAUAAAAAUAUUUUCUAAGCAGAUGAUGUGGCUCUUUUAUCGUGCUCAUCAUUUUAGAGAGAAAAAGAUCAAAGAUAGAGCCACCAUAGGUUCCAAACCCAAGGUUUGGGAAACUCCAUUCCAGUUCUAUUAAAAUUGCAGCUUUUUCAUAUAAAUUUCCCUGGAGAAGAAAUAUCAUAGGAGUUUUAAUAAUAAUAAAGUACAGGUUCUGUAGCCAACUCAUCUGGUUUGAAUCUCGUUCUGACACUUCCUAGCUGUGUAAUCUUAAGCAAAUUACUUAACCUCUCUGUGCCUCUGUUUUUCUAACAAAUGGGGGCAAUGAUAUGACCUACCUUUGAG
rnacentral:lncRNA from 10 species